rnacentral:rRNA from 1 species
GACGAACGCUGGCGGCGUGCUUAACACAUGCAAGUCGAACGGAAAGGCCCCUUUGGGGGUGCUCGAGUGGCGAACGGGUGAGUAACACGUGGGUGAUCUGCCCUGCACUUCGGGAUAAGCUUGGGAAACUGGGUCUAAUACCGGAUAGGACCAUGGCAUGCAUGUGCUGUGGUGGAAAGAUUUUAUCGGUGUGGGAUGGGCCCGCGGCCUAUCAGCUUGUUGGUGGGGUGAUGGCCUACCAAGGCGACGACGGGUAGCCGGCCUGAGAGGGUGUCCGGCCACACUGGGACUGAGAUACGGCCCAGACUCCUACGGGAGGCAGCAGUGGGGAAUAUUGCACAAUGGGCGCAAGCCUGAUGCAGCGACGCCGCGUGGGGGAUGACGGCCUUCGGGUUGUAAACCUCUUUCACCAUCGACGAAGGCCUGCUUUUGGGUGGGUUGACGGUAGGUGGAGAAGAAGCACCGGCCAACUACGUGCCAGCCGCCGCCGUAACAC